rnacentral:rRNA from 1 species
UACGUAGGGGGCAAGCGUUAUCCGGAUUUACUGGGUGUAGAGGGAGCGUAGACGGCCAGACAAGUCUGAAGUGAAAAUCCAGCGCUUAACGUUGGAAGUGCUUUGGAAACUGCCGGGCUAGAGUGCAGGAGGGGCAGGCGGAAUUCCUAGUGUAGCGGUGAAAUGCGUAGAUAUUAGGAGGAACACCAGUGGCGAAGGCGGCCUGCUGGACUGCAACUGACGUUGAGGCUCGAAGGCGUGGGGAGCAAACAGG